rnacentral:snRNA from 1 species
AUCGCUUCUCGGCCUUUUGGCUAAGAUCAAGUGUAGAAAUAAUAUUUCCCUUCUAUAUUCUUAUUCGUUCUGAGCCAGAGAGAAGACACUACAUGUCUUUUUUUUUUCUUCUUAAGUCUCACCUGAGGAUAUGUUUU